rnacentral:antisense_RNA from 1 species
AACAAUGGUGGCUCAGGCGGGGCAGCCUUUGGGCUGGCCGGUAUCCUUCAGAGCCGGUACUGCAAACCCCGUCUGGGCUACCACCAAU